AUUAUCCCCUUCGUUAUCCGCCCUCUCCCCUUCCCCUCUCCCUCUCUCUUUGAUAACGGCCAAAAUCGAACCGAUCUCUCGCCUUCCCCUCUCCCUCUUUCUUUGAUAACGCCCAAAUCCCUUUAUUACCUUCGUUAUCGGUGCUUUCCCCUGCCCCUCUCCCUCUCUCCGUCUCUAAAUUAAAUUGAACUCCUCACUUCAGUUUCCGUCUCCUCACCUACUCUCCCCAUCCGUUUUAUGUUUCUAUAAAUACCUUCUGAUUCAAUUUUGAUGGAACAAAUAAGGUGUCUGAUAUUGAUUGGAGGAGUAGAAAGCUAUCAAAGAUGUUGAAACGCACAGCACGCAAAUUAGUUCCCAAACCAUAUGAGUUUAAAACUUUUACUAAUACUAAGGCCAAAAAAAUUAUUGAAAUUUCAUCAAGUGACGAUGAAGACGAUCAGAAAAAGAUGUUAAAUGAGGGUCACUCAACAAACAAGCAUGCAAUUGGUACUUCAGCUCGACUAUAUGAUGAUGAAGAAGAACCAUCGAUUGAGGAGUAUUAUGAUGAUGAUGAGGAGGAAAGCUCUUAUGAAGUUAACAAAAAAAAUGAAGGUUGAGGAUUCAGAUCCUGAUUAUGUCCCUAGCAAAAAUACUCAUACUACUGCUAAAGUUAAUGUUUCUAUUGCUGCUAAGAUCAAGGAUGAAGAAGAAGCGGAUAAAAUGUUUACUGAAGCUAUGGGCAUUCUAGAAGCAAUCUGAAAAAUUCGUCAAGAAAAAAAAAAGUUGAGAUGAGUCUUAGAAAAAUAAUUAUCAAGUCAAUAAAAUAAAUUUAGGUCUGAUUUGUCAAUCGUAGUAUUGGAAAAGUUUAUAAGUUUUUGUUAUUUUUAUUAGCUUUAAUUAUGCAACAAAAAGCCUAUGUUUGCCUCUUUAUCUUUCUUUAACAUCGACCUUAUGAAGGAUAUGAUUUUGGGUGUUAAAUACUUGUGUUCUAUUUUGUCUGCUGCAUCACUGAUAUUUCAAUUUUAUUCAUUUAUGAUUUAUGAUUAUGAUUAAUGAUUUAUAAUUAUGAUAAAAUAUGUUUUUUAUAUUUUUUUAGCUCACCUUCAGAACUUCACAAAUUUUUGGCCGAUAUAUAUCAGGGCACAUAUAUCAAGUGCUUCCAACACAUGUGCAUGUUAUGUGAUUGUUAUAAAGAUGUGUAUUAUGCAUGGGAAAUAUCAGCUGCCAUGUUAUGUAUAAAUUAUAAGGUACAUUGGGAUAAGUAC